CAAGAAUAAUCUAUUACUUAAUCCUUAAUCUAUUAAAUUGUAUUCAUGUACAAAUAUAAUUAACCCUAAUCCGUCCAAUGUUUUUUCCGCAACUUAAAGAGUUAAUGGCAGUCAGUAACUUUGAAAAAAUCGAUUUUUCAAUUUUGCUAUUUCCUGAAAGUUUCAAGCUAAUUAAAAAGGACGGAUUAAAAGGGAUGGAGUUAUAGAGCUUUAAUGAUUGCUGUUCGGAGCAGGUAGUCCGGCGGCAGCUGCUCUCUGCUUUUGUUAGGAAUACUGGUGUGUAUAUCUGUAUUGAUAUUUUAAAAGCAACUCUGUCAGAAGAAGGUACUCUGUAUGGCCUUGGAAUAGACGACUCAGUGUAAGUUAAGAAAAAAAAUUUUUAACUCAAUCAAAUUAGAACUUGAAACUUUAAAUGCGUUUUUCUCGAAACAGCAUUUUUCAAAUCGGUGAGCAAGAUUGCUGAAAAACGGUUCAAGAUGAUCCAGUCCCAAGAAACCUUUCUCACCACAAGCCACCUUUUUUAAAAGGCCAUCCACACCAUCAGCUGUUAUGCCCAAACAAAUGAAUAUUUUUGCAUGAAAAUUUUUGUAGACAUUCCUUAAAACUUACUUUAUAAUA